UAAACCGCUCAAGUCGGAGCACGUUAUCAUUCUUGUUAGUUCUUAGCGAAUUCCCUCGAUAUGAUCAUUCUUUCAUCAGUUUGUUCCCCGUUUCUUCUCUAGCCUGAGCCCGACACACUAUUCUAGCUAGACAUGGGUGUGGCUCGUAACACCUAAUGACCAAACGGAUCUACGGCACCGUUGAAUCUCAAACUUUAACAGCCAAAAUUAUUGUUUUUCAUUAUGUAGUCUCUUUUAAAUUACUAAACGUCAUUUUUUGAGCUGAGAUAUCCAGGAACGCUUUCUCGGGGUUUUUGUGCACGUAUUUCAAAUCAUACGGACCUGAAAAUUAGAAGUCAUUCCAUCUUUAUUCCCCUAGAGCCUUCCAGCAGUUCCUAAACCGCUCCAGUUGGACCACGUUAUCAUUCUUGUUAGUUCUGAGUGAAUUACCUUAGUAUGAUCAUUCUUUCAUCAGUUUGUUCCCUGUUUCUUCUAUAGUCUGAGCCUAGCACACUACUCUAGCUAGACAUGGGUGUGGCUCGUAACACCUGAUGACCAAACAGAUCUACGGCACCGUCGAAUCUCAAACUUUAACUGCCAAAACUAUUGUUUUUCAUCCUGUAGACCCUUUUAGAAUUACUAAACGUCCUUUUUUGGGCUGAGAUUUCCGGGAACGCUUUCACGGGGUUUGUGUGCACGUAUUUUAAACCAUAUGGACCUAAAAAUUAGAAGUCAUUCCAUCUUUAUUCCCAUAGAGCCUAACACACUAUUCUAGCUAGAUAUGGGUGUGGCUCGUAACACCUGAUGACCAAACGGAUCUACGGCACCAUCGAAUCUCAAACUUUAACUGCCAAAACUAUUGUAUUUCAUCAUGUAGUCCCUUUUAGAAUUAUUAAACGUCCUUUUUUAGGGCCGUGAUUUCCAUGAACGCUUUCUUGGGGUUUCUGUGCAUGUAUUUCAAAUCAUACGGACCUAAAAAUUAGAAGUCAUUCCAUCUUUAUUCCCCUAGAGCCUUCCAGCAGUUCCUAAACCGCUUCAGUCGGAGCACGUUAUCAUUCUUGUUAGUUCUGAGUGAAUUCCCUUGGUAUGAUCAUUCUUUCAUCAGUUUGUUCCCCGUUUCUUCUCUAGUCUGAGCCUAGCACACUAUUCUAGCUAGACAUGGGUGUGGCUCAUAACACCUCAUGACCAAACGGAUCUACGGCACCAUCGAAUCUCAAACUUUAACUGCCAAAACUAUUGUUUUUCAUCCUGUAGUCCCUUUUAGAAUUACUAAACGUCCUUUUUUGGGCAGAUAUUUCCAGGAACGCUUUAUCGGGGUUUGUGUGCUCGUAUUUCAGACCAUACGGACCUAAAAAUUAGAACUCAUUCCAUCUUUAUUCCCCUAUAGCCUUCCAGCAAUUCCGAAACCACUCUAUUCGGAGCACGUUAUCAUUCUUGUUAGUUCUAAAAGAAUUCCCUCGGUAUGAUCAUUCUUUCAUCAGUUUAUUUCCCGUUUCUUCUCUAGUCUAAGCCUAGCACACUAGUCUAGCUAGACAUGGGUGUGGCUCGUAACACCUGAUGACCAAACGGAUCUACGGCACCGUCAAAUCUCAAACUUUAACUGCCAAAACUAUUGUUUUUCAUCCUGUAGUCCCUUUAGAAUUACAAAAGGUCCUUUUUUGGGCCGAGAUUUCCAGGAACACUUUCUCGGGGGUUUGUGUGCAUGUAUUUCAAACCAUAUGGACCUAAAAAUUAGAAGUCAUUCCAUCUUUAUUCCCCUAGAGCCUUCCAGCAGUUCCUAAACCGCUCCAGUCGGAGCAUGUUAUCAUUCUUGUUAGUUCUGAGUGAAUUCCCUCGGUAUGAUCAUUCUUUCAUCAGUUUGUUCCCCAUUUCUUCUCUAGUCUGAGCCUAGCUCACUAUUCUAGCUAGACAUGGGUGUGGCUCGUAAUACCUGAUGACCAAAUGGAUCUACGGCACCAUCGAAUCUCAAACUUUUACUGCCAAAACUAUUGUUUUUCAUCCUGUAGUCCCUUUUAGAAUUACUAAACGUCCUUUUUUGGGCUGAGAUUUCCAGGAACGCUUUCUUGGGGUUUGUGUGCACGUAUUUCAAACCAAGCGUUCCUAAAAAUUAGAAGUCAUUCCAUCUUUAUUCCCCUAGAGCCUUACAGCAGUUCCUAAACUGCUCCAGUCGGCGCACGUUAUCAUUCUUGUUAGUUCUGAGUGAAUUCCCUCGGUAUGAUCAUUCUUUCAUCAGUUUGUUCCCCGUUUCUUCUCUAGUCUGAGCCUACCACACUAUUCUAGCUAGACAUGGGUGUGGCUCAUAACACCUUAUGACCAAACGGAUCUACGGCACCAUCGAAUCUCAAACUUUAACUGCCAAAACUAUUGUUUUUCAUCCUGUAGUCCCUUUUAGAAUUACUAAACGUCCUUUUUUGGGCAGAUAUUUCCAGGAAUGCUUUAUCGGGGUUUGUGUGCACGUAUUUCAGACCAUACGGACCUAAAAAUUAGAAGUCAUUCCAUCUUUAUUCCCCUAUAGCCUUCCACCAGUUCCUAAACCACUCCAGUCGGAGCACGUUAUCAUUCUUGUUAGUUCUGAGCGAAUUCCCUCGGUAUGAUCAUUCUUUCAUCAGUUUAUUCCCCGUUUCUUCUCUAGUCUAAGCCUAGCACACUAGUCUAGCUAGACAUGGGUGUGGCUCGUAACACCUGAUGACCAAACGGAUCUACGGCACCGUCAAAUCUCAAACUUUAACUGCCAAAACUAUUGUUUUUCAUCCUGUAGUCCCUUUUAGAAUAACUAAACGUCCUUUUUUGGGCCGAGAUUUCCGGGAACACUUUCUCGGGGUUUGUGUGCAUGUAUUUCA
rnacentral:lncRNA from 1 species